rnacentral:rRNA from 1 species
GGGUUGUGAGGUUAAGCGACUAAGCGUACACGGUGGAUGCCCUGGCAGUCAGAGGCGAUGAAGGGCGUGCUAAUCUGCGAUAAGCGCCGGUAAGGUGAUAUGAACCGUUAUAACCGGCGAUACCCGAAUGGGGAAACCCAGUGUGACUCGUCACACUAUCAUUAACUGAAUCCAUAGGUUAAUGAGGCGAACCGGGGGAACUGAAACAUCUAAGUACCCCGAGGAAAAGAAAUCAACCGAGAUUCCCCCAGUAGCGGCGAGCGAACGGGGAGGAGCCCAGAGCCUGAAUCAGCAUGUGUGUUAGUGGAAGCGUCUGGAAAGGCGCGCGAUACAGGGUGACAGCCCCGUACACAAAAGCGCAUGUGCUGUGAGCUCGAUGAGUAGGGCGGGACACGUGGUAUCCUGUCUGAAUAUGGGGGGACCAUCCUCCAAGGCUAAAUACUCCUGACUGACCGAUAGUGAACCAGUACCGUGAGGGAAAGGCGAAAAGAACCCCGGCGAGGGGAGUGAAAAAGAACCUGAAACCGUGUACGUACAAGCAGUGGGAGCACAGGUUUACCUGUGUGACUGCGUACCUUUUGUAUAAUGGGUCAGCGACUUAUAUUCUGUAGCAAGGUUAACCGAAUAGGGGAGCCGGAGGGAAACCGAGUCUUAACCGGGCGUUAAGUUGCAGGGUAUAGACCCGAAACCCGGUGAUCUAGCCAUGGGCAGGUUGAAGGUUGGGUAACACUAACUGGAGGACCGAACCGACUAAUGUUGAAAAAUUAGCGGAUGACCUGUGGCUGGGGGUGAAAGGCCAAUCAAACCGGGAGAUAGCUGGUUCUCCCCGAAAGCUAUUUAGGUAGCGCCUCGUGAAUUCAUCUCCGGGGGUAGAGCACUGUUUCGGCUAGGGGGCCAUCCCGGCUUACCAACCCGAUGCAAACUGCGAAUACCGGAGAAUGUUAUCACGGGAGACACACGGCGGGUGCUAACGUCCGUCGUGAAGAGGGAAACAACCCAGACCGCCAGCUAAGGUCCCAAAGUCAUGGUUAAGUGGGAAACGAUGUGGGAAGGCCCAGACAGCCAGGAUGUUGGCUUAGAAGCAGCCAUCAUUUAAAGAAAGCGUAAUAGCUCACUGGUCGAGUCGGCCUGCGCGGAAGAUGUAACGGGGCUAAACCAUGCACCGAAGCUGCGGCAGCGAC